UCCUUCAUUCCACCGGAGUCUGUGCCUUUAUCUAACCAGAUUUCAGUGAAGUGAAGAGUA
rnacentral:miRNA from 1 species